GGAGAUGCAUUAUCUUUCUCAUUGUAAGCAGAAUAGCUAAGUGAAAGUAGAGUAUCUGAUUUUCCUCUUUGUCUUGGUAUCAUUGCUAGUUCUUAGGGUGAACAAGAAAUUACUUGGAUAGAAAGCACUUGGUACUGAAGAAAUCAGCUUGAAAGUAAAAUACAGUUUUCUAAUGCACAGUGAGUUAACCAAGUUACUGUUACUGCUGUUGACGCUUGGUGACGCUGAAUGAAUAAAUUGUGAAACAUUUUCUUUUUAUGGUUUUAUUUAUACUUCAUUUAAUAUAACUUAUGGACAUGGCUAUAAAGUUGUUUAGUUGUCUUCAUAUUGUGAUGCAAGUACUAUGAGUAUGAUAACGUACUUUGAACUUACUGCAAUGGGAAUAUAAAGCACAAUAAUAUCAAAAUCAACCUUCUUAUUAUAUUAAUACCAAUAGAUUAUUUAAUGGCCUUGAUACUUAAAUAAAGGACAUCAUAAUGAUGUCACAAAAUUGUUUUAGAGGGAGAUUCUGAAACUUUGUCCAUAUUUGAAUAUUAAGAACCUUUUCAAUCAGUGAGCUGUCAUAGUUCAUGGUAGAAGAACUGUCAACGUGACAGUCCUAACUAGAACAUUGAAGUCUUAGAGCAUUAAGUAAAAAAUAGAUAUCUCUAAUAAUAUAAUGGAGAAAUGUAGAGAUUUACCUUAUAUAAUGCUUCUGGUAAAAAUAAUUGCUGUAGUACAUAGUUAGAUCCAUGGAGAAUACAAGUUGGACUAUCUGCAAUGAAGUCAGUGCUUUCCAUUAGGCUGCAGCAAUAUUACCAGCUGAGGUUCUGAUCCAUGCAAUCUGUAUGCUGACUGGGUAAUCCCAUCGUGGUCAGUAAUUACAUACAGUUUAAAUGUUCUCACUGUAACUUCGGCAGUAUUGUGUUUGCUUUCAUCUUAAUUUCUUGUGCUCUGUAACUCCACACUGUUUACAGCAGUUGCUAUAUUCUUUUUGUUGGGAGGGGCUGCACUUCUGUCUUAAGCAAAAUGAUUCCUGUUUAGUUUGUGAAGUUAGUAAGCGAAAUCCAAAAAUUCUGAUGUAUGAAAUAUGCUUACUGUAUGUUAGGAGAUCUUGUUUUCUUUUAAAUUUUAAAAUUCUUAGAGUUAGUGUAAUUAUUCCAAGGGAAGUCCUUAUUUCUUAAAAUCCCACUUCACCUAUAUUAUGGCUUCAAUUUUAUGGAAGCUCCAAGAGCAAGGAUUACAAACUUCUAGGGCUGGGUUAAAUUGUGUAUGUAUGUCAAAAUUCUGUUCUUAAUUAUAUUCUGUGUAGAGUAUAAAUAGUGUUGAAAAUUCUACUAUCACUCAGUCUAUUAGGAAGAAGAUAGGACACGGGCAACACUCGGUAGUUUUUCCCAUGUGCCCUACAAAUAUAAGCUCUUACACGUACAGGGGGAGAAUUCAGAGAUUUCUGUGCUGAAAUUACAUUGAAUUAGUGCUUCAUGCUACUUAUAUUCAUCAGAUCUUUAAAAAAGGAUGUCUGAGACCCAUUCUCUGAAUCACUUCGUAUCUUCCACUUCCAGGUCCUGAAUUUUCCUACCAACUAAAAUAGUCAAAUCAUCUACAGUUUAGGCAAGAGUUAGUUCUGUACUGUACCACACAAUCUCCAUUGUAACUUUCUGCUCUUUCUGAGUCUUGUUUUGCUCUAAGAUACUACAGACUUUUAAAACAAGUCUACUUAAAUACUGAAAAUACGGUAAUAAUUAUAUGUAUUUAUGUAUCAGUGAAUUAUCAGAGUUUCAAUACUUAAGUAUUUCAAUAAUUAUGAAGUUUCACGCUGUUUUUGCAGUGAGGAGGAACUCCCAAUUUUCCAUGUGUAAAGGAACAUAUAUUUCCAUUAUGGUAUCAAAGAUACCAUUUUGUUAUAAACCAGAAUGCCUCUGUGUUUUCUGGUGUCUAUUUGUUAUUCUAGUAGCUGAGCUGUUAAUAUUGUUUAUAGUGUUGAAUGAAAAGCGUUAAGGAAAUUUCAGAAGAGUCUGAAGAAAAGUCAUAGCUGUUCAUUAAAUAGACAAUCUGUUAAUGUUAUUUUUUUUUCUUCCUGGAGGGCCAUGUACAGUAAAAGCUGAUUGAAAUAGCAGAUAUCACAUCUAAGAAACUAACUCUAACAAAAUGUAGUUUAAAUGUGAUUCAGAAAAUAGUCAAGACUAUUGCAACAUACUAACAGAAAAUACUUCUGCAGAAAUACUGCAUAGUUGUUGACACAAUUCUACUAAGUUUCAUAUAUAAGGCCUUACAUAAACUUAAGUUCAGUUUUGAUAUGCGUAUAGCUUCCGUAUUAGGUUAGUAAGAGUGUAUAAUUUCAGCAUAGUUAAAGGUGAUUUGUCAGAAGUGAGAUUGUAAACAAUAGGCCUUCCUGAAAGUGGGCAGAUGCGCCAUUUUGGCAAGGGCAAGUACUGACAGAAUAUUUAUGAAGUUCUUGGCCUCUUCUUUAACUUGCGGCAUUACAAAGAGGCUGAAAAAAUCAGGAUAUGAUAUGAAAUUUAAAAAAAAUAAAAUUGGGUAGUGCAUCAGGCCUAAUUUCUGUGAAUGUAUAACACACGUUGAAGUAAUUCUAAGUCGGUAAUAUUUUUCACUAUAUAAUAUGUAUAAUGAAAAACCUUAGUCAGGCUUCACUUUAAGUGUCUGCUCUUUGCUUGCUUAAAUAUUUUGGUUUACUGUUCAGUUAACUUAAGUCUUUUAAUGCAGUGAACUGCUUUUGUUUAUAACAGAGUCCUUUUAAACAGCAGAAAAAUUUGAACCUGAAAAUAUUUUGUUAUCCUUUGGAGGAACAUAUUUGCAAGGAUUGUACUGAGGGAUUUAUGGGGGGCAGAGCAGAGGAAAUUAGAACAUCGAUGAACUGUUUUGAAAAAAUAGGGUAGUGCGGCUUCAAUAACUAUCCCAAAGUAAGAGUGAGCAUCAAAAUCACUUAACGUUACUUUUGUGUCCUCUCCCUCUGUUUCUGUCCACCUUCAGGAAGUACAUUGAAUAUUUAAACAUUAAUUUCCAACUUUAAAAAUGACUUCAUUACCAUACUGGUAAAAAUGUGUGCUGGUUUUGAAUUUACCAGUAGAAAUAGGAAAUUGACAUAUAGGAUUAGGAGAAGUAAUACUAUGCAUUAGCAUUAGCCCCUUGGAAAUAGCUGCUCAGGUGGAGCACAGCCACUUUGAGUCCCAGAAGUACAUUUUCCUGACUCACACUGUCUAGGUUUACAACAAAGAGCUCAGGUUCCCUAAAGCUACUGCUCCAGUGCUUAAAAAGAUUGUGUUUAGCCCAGAAUGUGAAUAUCUGGCAUGUUGAAUAUAUACAACUGUACAUGCAAAUCAGUGUAUUUGUAAUGUUGCUCUUUCAAUUAUCUUUCUGUUUAUCUCACAUAUAGUAACUCCUUUAAAAAAAAAUGAAGGAAAAGUCCUCUAGAUUUUAAAUGUGUUCUUUUACACCUGAAAUAUACAUAUAUAAAAGAACAGUAAAAGUUCUGUCCUGUGCUUUCAUUGUUAAUACACAAAUUACAUUGAUAGAAGCAAUUCUGUGUCUUACUAAUUGAGUAGAACUUCUUUUAUGGAACUUCACUUAAAUUUCUUGUACAUUUUUCAGUCAAUAAGAAGUGUAGAAAUGUUGAGCAACACUAAAACAAUCUAAAAUGCAUCACGAAUUUCCACCAUACCUUACUCCUGAGGUUUUAUGCCUUGUACACUCACUGCAGUUAAUGCUUAAAAUUGGCUUUUGAAGGAUACAGUCCUGCAGCUUCAAAGCACUGAGUUAUGUGAGCUGCCCUUUUCCAGGUCUACUUUUCAUGUACUUGAAGUAAAAUAGAAUGUGAUGCAUCACUGGAUCAGCUGAACUCAGGAGUCCUGUAAAUUAUGGGUUGUUUGCACUAUGGAAUAAUACUUGUUUUGGACAUCAGGUGAGAUAUAUGAACCUCUCAUUCUUAGUUAUCCCUAUAGGUUUUUGAAAAUAAUAGUACAGAAUUUAACUAAAUAACAUAUCUGCUGCUACGAAAAUGUUAAAGCUAUCAAACUAGUAAGCAAGUGUUUGGAAUUGUUAGAAUUAACAAAUAGGCAUUUAAAAAAAAAAAAAAAGAAUUCCAGCAUCUAGUCUUACUGUCCAUAGGUUAAUAUGUUAUCAUUCACACAGAUUCUGUGUGGAUUAACGUGUAACUUCUUCCUUACUUUCAUGUUUAAUUUAUGGAGUUGUUUAAUUUUUGGAGUUGUUAAAUGAAUUUUAUAAAAUGAAAACAUAGCAAGGAUUCCUUUGUAAAUUGGAGCAAUAUGACAAGGAACGUUUCUGGUAGAUACUUUUUUUCUGAUAGGCAUGGCUUUGGGUCACAUUAUUUAAAAUAAAAUUUCUACUAGUAAUUAGUAGACAGUUGGUAAUAGAGAGUGAGAUUUUAGAGCACUUUCAGUAGCACCUAUUGUUUAAAAAAGAAAAAAAGGAGAAAAAAAAGUUGGCAUUCUCAAGUCUUCCCAUAAGUAAUGAAGCCAGCACAUUAUUCUUACAGAUAAUUCUGUACUUUGGCAUGUGAAGAUAUAGUAUCUCUGAGACAAUGCUCCAUAAAAACACCAGUGUUCUCGAUGGAGAUAAAGGAGUUUCUCAACUGGCCACUUUGUGGCUGAUUUUAAGUAGAAUUGAUGUCUUCAUUUAGAUGAAAGGACAAUUUUAUAAUUUCAUAGACUUGAAUGAAAAGAGUUUUUUGUAAGCCAGUAGCUGAUAAGUCUAAAUUGCUUCUGUUAGGCAAAAAUCUGUGUUUCUUCGCAUGUAAUUUUCCUAGGAUAUGAUAGUAAAAGAAGUGGUAUGAGUAAAUACAGUGACAAAAUAUGCUAUCUAUGAAUUAUGGAGUAGUUUUGUAUUUAGUAUGAUAAAUUUAUUCCCCUUUAUUUUUUAAAAUUUAUCUCUUUAGCAUAUGUGCAAGAUAGAUCUCAUUAGCUUUUUAAAUUACUAUGGGUGGCAAAACAACAAAAUUGCCUACUACAUCCAAAUGAGAACGAAGGAGUUAAAGGAAAAAUACAGUUUGGUCACUAAACUCAUCCACGCUAGGCUGCAGGUACUGCUAUGUCUGAGAUAAGGUAGAGGCAAUACUACUAAUCUACUACUUCUGAUCUUAAAUCCUGUCCCUGUAGUUUGGAUUACAUAUCCCUUAGUUUUGUUUUGGUUUUACUUUGUUUUUUACUUUGUUUUUCAAAGUGUAAAUUUUUAAGUAGCAAGCUUUGCAUUUUUUUAAACAAGAAUUCUAAAUAUCUUUAAUAUGCUGGAGGUGAAUUAAUAGAGAUAAAUUUGUUCUCUUAGGGCUUAAGUCUGUUACACCUAAGAUACAGUCUCUCCUGAACUGAAUAGUUUUCAGUAGAAGCUUCAGAGUAGGUAAUGCUUGACGGAGUUUUCAUUAUCUUGCAGAACUGAGUUUUCCAGGUAGUCUUCUGUAGAAGCUGGAUGUAGUUCCUUCUAGUUCUUAUUUGGUACUCUUGCAUUAAAGCUGUGCAAAACUCACCGUUUCACCAUACCUGGCAGUGCAGGCUGGAGGAGCAAUUUGGGGCAAAAUAGCACCCAAAUAAUUACACCCAGUUUCUUUACUAGGUCUGCAUAAUGCAAACAUCAUCCAAGGAAGCUAUGUGUAUAUAUAUAUAUAUAAAGGAAUCACUUGAUAUUCAUCCUUAAACAUAAUUUCCACUAACCCAUGUCCUGUUUGCUUUGACUUUAGAAAGGGCAAAUCAGGAUUUCUGCAUUUUGAAAUAUUAGCGUAUUUAGCAUUUCUCUUUUUAUGUUACCUGGUUUUAAUAAAGAAUUUUGCAAGAGAAGGUUUAUAUUAAAUUACUCAUAAUCUAGUUUAUUCUGCUAGGAUUCUUAAAAAAAAAAAAAAAAAAAAAAAAAAACUUCUGUAUGUAUUUGGAUGACAGUAUAUGAAAAUAUACUGUCUUUUUUUUUAAAUAAGUUGCAGAUUUUUUUUUCUGGUUGCAAUCAUGUUAGACAUAUAUAAAGAAAAAGUUUACUUUCAAUAUCCUCCUUUAAGUUAUUUGAAGUAAAUUGCAAUUUUUUUUUCAAAAAACACUUUUUGCAUAUUUUCCAUUAGUGCCCUUUAGUACCUAUAUCAAUAUACAGUUUGAUUUUUAUUAGACUUCAUAAAUAUUUUGACAUGACAUAUCUGUAACACUAAACAUAAGCUUCCAAUGCAAGAGUUUGUACAUAGUCCAUAUCCAGAUAUCACCAUUAUUUCAUUUAAAAGAUCCCAGCAUGUUUACCUCAUGAUCCGUAUAAACUCUCUAGUACUGAAAUAUGUCAACACUUUUUCUUGCUACAUUCAUUGAAAUUAAGCACCCUUACCCUACCCCAUCUGUAAACAUCAAGUCAAUUGGCAGCUAGCACAUUUCCCAGUCAGCAAGCAGUAUUGUGAAUUUUAUCUUCUCUUGCAGAAAUCAAUUCGUCUUCGUUGCAGCAGAUGAAAUUUCUUGUAACACCUCUGCAGGUAACAAUCAUUGAUACUUCUUGAUGCAUCCAUCCAGGUCUCAAUAUCCUUUUUCACAUGCUGCAUUUAAUCGUAAGAGAAAGCAUAGGAAAGUCCAUGAUUCAAAUUUUCGGAAUAGAUUAAUUUAUAGCUUGAGUCUAGAUUCUGCCAUAUAAAAGACAUUAGGUUAUUUUUGCUGACUUUGGUGUUUUAUUUCCAGUUUAAAUAUUAUAUGGCCUAGAAAAGUAAGGAUAUGUUAAACCUUCUCAUAAAAGCUUACUGUACAGUGCAAUCAAGGUGAUGGUGACUUAAAAAAAAAAUCAAAAAAAGAAUAAAACUACUGAAAACAGUAAAAGUAUAGAUCUAUGCAGGACAUUGUAAGUGCUAUAGAUUUAAGUUUUUUUUUCAACUCUUUGGGGGCAAAUACUGCCCACAACAGUACUGCAGACCCUAAAGCACUCACAAAGUCUAUCCUAUGGAUAAGAUAGUGGGAGAGAGGGUCUGCGACUUCAGAGGAUCACUCUCUAGUAAGUAAAAAUCUUAGCUGGUUUGCUAGUAUACUAUCAUGUUGUAAGCCAUGGGUGCAGAAGAACGAACAAUGUUUUAAAAGAUAUUUAUUAAUGGUAAUUUAUAAGUAUAUAUCGAGGGAUUUUCUGUCAAUAGAGGUUGAACAAUGUUAGUCUUAAUACAGGUAAGGAUGAUGUUAUGUUGCUACAUUAGAAAUCAAAGGCCAAUAUAUUUAGUUACAGUGUUGGCCACACUGUCAAUAAUGAUAUGUGAAAAAGUCAUGGAGAUGUGUGUAUUGGAGGAAAGGAUAUGUAGUGUGGCACAAAAUGUCGGUAUCAAGAUGUAUUUAUUUGUAGAGAGUUUUACAUUAGUGGAAAUAAAUGAAAGGUGAAGAAUUUUCUGCUUAUGUCAUGGUGACCUACAUAGAAGUACACAUGUUUAUGGAGAAGACGACUAUAGCUAAAGUCACUAUGUUCUAAGAUGGUAAUAUACUGCAUGGUAGCCACAGCAUUUUUGGUGGUAAUCUGAAAAGUUCUUCUUAAAAAGAAAACAAGCAACUGAUUUAACAUAGAUUUCUCAGAAUCCUAUAUCAUUAGCAGAAUGAUCCUUGAUUAGGAUUCUGACAUUCAUUAUUUCACUUGUGCUUCCUACUCUGUUCUGGAUAGUAGUGAACUGCAGUAGGGAGACGACUCAUUUAUAAAUCUGUGCCUUGCAGAGUGAGUAUAGAUAGAUUCAUUUUAGCAGUUUUUUAACUUGGAGUUCUUAAAACACACAUAUAGUUCUAAUAAUUUUCUUGUUUUGAAAACUUUCCCUGUUUUGCAGAAUGAACCCUUUUACGCAAUACUUACACCUGUAGACAUUAACUUCUCUCAGUUCAUGCAGAAUAAGUGUCCAGACUACACAAUACUUAUUCUGUAUGGCAUUACACUGAAAUUUCAAAAAUAUUGCACACUUGUUCAUCAGAAAAUGCACUGAAAUUUACACAGAAGAAAAUGGACUUUUGUGUAUAUUUAUUAAAACUUUUCAGUUUACCAGCAAAUUACCACUAUUAAACUGAUUUGAUAAAUAAGGUGUUUCUGUUAGAUAAUGUUUUUGACACUAUGAUAAACAUAUCGGCAGUAGGUAACUUUAGGGGUCUUUUUUGUUAUAUGUUCUGAAGGAGUAAGCUAAUGAAAGCCUCUAUUUUCUGUUAUUUGUAUAUUUAAAUUUUAGUGAUAGAAUUUAAAGGAAUUCUGUCUAUAUUUAAAAAAAAAAAAAAAAAAAAAACAGCUACACCAUACACUGACCCCUUUUCUGUUAUGGAACAAGUUACCAAAAUUGCAUUGGGCCUUUCAAAUCUGUAAACUGACAUUCAACUUAUUGUCUGAUGUUUUGUGUUUCAGUACGUGAAGUAUACAUAGAUAUAUAAUCUUUCAGAGCAGUAGCUGUCAUUUGAUUUUUCAGAUGCACACAAAACGUCUAUGAUACAAUAUUAGAUGCUAGUAGUGUUCCUAAAUUCAAUUAGACUAAUUCAAGUGUUUGCCAAAUUGGAUUGGUAUAAGAUAAGAUACUGAUAAUAUGCUAACUGUCUGAAAUGUUAGUACAUGUGUGUUUGUAUUGUUUCCUUGUGUAGAAUAUACAUGUUUGUAGACUUAAAAUAAUCAUAUAACAAGUAAACUUUUGUUUGGAACUCUAUUGUCGAAUGGAAAUGGGAGUCUUGGGUGAUUCUACCGGUAAUAUUCACUCUUUUCUUCCUAAUGCUUUAUCAUUCCUUCCAGGCAAUACUUAACCCUAAGCCACAUGACUUUCUUUAUUUUACUUUAUUUUUAUUUCAAAUUUAUUUUUUUUUAAUUUAGAAAUAAAGUAAUCUUGAAAUCAAACAUGGUAGGGUAAUGUGUCAAUAUAUACAUUUUUAUUCAUGUAUGUAUAUCUAUUCUUCAAUGAAAAUUAUAUAAAGAAAAUAUAUUCAAGAAUAUGCAAGUGUGUGACAGAGGGAUCCUUCCAUGGGAAAUUUAAAAAUAUUUUGCUCUAUUAUCCAGAGCAUUUUGAAGCUAAAAAUAAUUACUCUUCAGAAGAGAAGUUCUAUGCUUCUGGGAUAGAUCUUCUCUGGCAGGCGUGAUUAAAGAGUAUGCAAACAGACCUGAGCUAGAUCAGAGGUAGGGAAACUAUCUGAGACCUCCUUUCAGCUUGUUGAUGCAAUUUUAACAAGGAUCUCUGAAGAAUUUCCUCUAGCAGAACUCUGACAAUGGUUAUAUUAGAGGAGAAUUAAUCGUGAUGGGGGCAAAGGGGAUCUUACCCUAUCAGUCUCCUUAUAAGUCAGAAAGAAACCCAGCAGAAAAACAUGGUUUAUUUACGUGUUGGCUAGAGAACAUAGUUGAUUUUGUAUCUUUAACAUUUUAAAUUAAUUUUUCAAAUCAGUAAUCAAUAUAUUUUUUCUUUUAGGUUUUAUAAAGCUGAAAUUUAUAGCUCUUAAAGAAAAAAACAUUUAUAGUGCCUUUUCCAAGUUUAUUCUAGGAUGUACCUGCAUUUUAUGAUUUUUAUGUUAAAACAGGACAGGAUAAUUAUUCUGUAUUCAUACCGUUCCUGCUUUCUUCCUCCAGUUAUUAACUGUCAUCUAACUUCCAUCUCCAAACAAAAAAUCCAGUGUGAUUGCACAGCCGGUAGUAUUUUUCUCCCAAGAGUAUAUGCAUUUUAUGAUUUUGAAAUAACAGAGAGAAAGGCAAGGGUAUAUAUACACCUGAAUUCAGAAUGAAGUAUGGUGGAGGUGAAUAUAACAUCUAUCCAAUUGUAGCUGUAUUUAUUUACAUAACUGGGCAGAGUCGUCCCCAUGAGGCAGGAAUGUGUGUAUGUGUAAAAGAUGUGCAUUAUAAAGCUUAAGAAGUUUACAGUCCUGGAUUAAGUUACUGACCUCUCUUUGGAGGAGGAUACAGUCUCGAAAACAGAUUAAAUGAGGAGAGGUUUAAUUUUCAUCUCUAGGAGAAAUUCGUCAUAAAGGCAGCAAAAAGGAGCAAACAUUUGUACUAUCAAAAGUCUGAAAAGAAUAUUGGCAAUUUUUAACGAACACAAUUGCUCAAAUCCUUGCAAUUUUAGUGUAUGCUAGCAUUAAAAUGUAAACACGAACACUUCCGCAAAUUUAAUUUGAGAAACAAUAGCAAAUAUGGUCACAUUUAUUUAAAAGAAAAUUAAUAUUAGAAAAAAUGCUUAGAAUGCUUAAGGUGGUCUACCUCUGCCAUGGUACGUAAUUAUAUCUGGUCAAAUUUUUGCCAUGAAUGCUUGCAUACAUCUCAUUGACAUACUUCAGUUUCUGGUAGGAGGUACUGAUCAGAUUAUGAUCAUUCAAAGGAAUUUCCAAACAGUACAUAUUAUAUAAACUGCUUUGGAAAACCUCUUUUAGAGAGGUUUGCAUUACCUUUGUAAUUACUGUGUAAAGGCAUAGGUUCCGUUGUGAGAGAUGUUUUUGUUUUGGUAUCACUUCCGUGUGCUUCAUUUCAUUUCAUGAAGCAAGUCGACUGGGAAAAUAGCCAUCUCCUACCAGGUUAUUUUAUUAUUGCUCUUUCACAAAUCAAUAAAUCAAAAAUGAAGAUGAAGGAGCAUUUUUUGAGGUCUUUGUGCUAGUAUGUAGUUAAGCCUUUACUGCUUUUCCUAACAGAUAGUGAGGUUUUUGCUCUUCAAAACUAGGGAGUGUUGUAUUAAUGCACAUUACUAAACUUCUAUAAAUUCCAGUGUCCUUCACGUUGGCAGUUUAAAUUUCUUUUUACUGCUGCUGUAAAUAGAUCGUACAUGGAAUUCUGUUUGUUACUGCUUUUACUGCUCUUGGUAGUGCUGGUAAAAUGCUCAGCUAUUGGAUCAGUUGAUAAAAAUCAGUAAACACUUUGGUUAUCCUCUGCUCUUUCAUAAAAUUUGAUUAAUUUCUUUUUCUCACCCAGUGAAAACACUAGCAGACCUUUUGGCAUCUUUGUCAUUAUCUCUUUGACAGCUUACCUUCCCUGUGCUUACAGUUCUAGGUCAGUUCGCAUGGCUAGUCAAUUGUGACAACAUGACAAGAUUAAGUAAAGCUGAGGUUCUGUGAUUUGUAAAUGGAGGAUUUGCAAUGUGAAGCGUCUUUGAUAACAGAAAUAGUGAAUAAUCUUUGUUUGCCCUCAACAAGUGCCUGUAAGCACAUGUGCAUCCUCUGGUACUGUGUUUUUGAAUGAAGCAACUGGAAUUUUUUCUUUGAUAGGCUGAAAACAGUGCACAAGAAAGCUGGUUUGUGUGUGUGCAUGUAUGUAUGCUUGUAGAGCAGAGCAUUAAAUAAACAGCGAUUCAGUAUGAAUGUCCUGAGCGUAUAAUAUUGCAUUUUAAACAUUUAACAACCAAAAAAUGAAUGCAUACUUGCUGACCUUCACUAGCACAAAAGACUGUUUUAAAAGUUCAUAUAAAAAGCAUGUGUGUGUUUAUUUAUUACUAAUCUAGAUUAGAAGUUAUUUAGGAUUUACUGCCCCAGCAUAGACAAAUGCUGUACGAAUCAGACAAAUGCUUGUUUUUCUCUGAAGUUUGACAGAUUAAUAAAUGUCAGCUGAUGGCAAAGCCUCAGUUUCCCCAGUGACUUUUUAUUAGGAACAUAUAGGUAGUCUGUCUUCCUGAGAAGGAGAUUAUACAAACAAGGGGUGUUGAUAGCACGUUACAUUUUAAGCAGAUGCCAAGUGAAGUCCCCACACAUUUAUGGAAGCUGCCUUUGACCUUUUGUAAAUCCAAACAGGGAGACUGAAAUCUGAGACAGAGCUUUUGCCUGAGGUCUCUCCCUGGGGUCGCUCUACAGCACUGAUUCAGCACCCACACAGGAGGAACAUCAGCUGUGCUGCAGUGUUACACCUGGGUAUUUCUGCAAAUUCACCAAUACCAUUUAUUUAAAUGUUUCCCAACGUGGCAGCUGAACUUUGGGUGCAUCUAACAAAUUUCAAACAAAGCUGUACGUUAGCACUCAGGAAAAAAAAAAAAAAUCAUGUUUGAACAUCAAUGACUGAAAUUUCUGCAAAUUCCAAUCAAUGAGCAAUAAUUAAUGAGCCAAAUAAUAAUGGGAAUCAUAAUUAACUGGAUGAUUUCAUAUGUGACAUAAAUAAAAGUCAAGAGGUGGAACUUGUUCCCUGCACGUAGAUACUUCUGAGUAGGCUUCUUAGCUUUCUUCUGAUUUCACCAGAAGGAAAAAGUAAGGACUGCUUCUAAUAUUAUCAUUAAUGUAUUUAUGAAGAUCCCUUCAUGGGAAACUUGUAUGGCCUUAUUCAUGUGGUAGGCUGUGGUAAAAAUUCUUCAUCUCUGUGAAAACCUGGGAAUGGUAAUGCUAUACUAACAGGAAAUCCUGCACUGCCUUGAAGAUAUACAGGAGCUCAGCACUGCAGCAUACCUUGAGUUUUUGCUGUUUCACUGUGCUGUGUCUAUCAGUACUAUGUCUUCCCAUGUCCUCUGCUGCACAAUGUAAAUCUGUGAAGUGUUAGCAGCAGUAGAAGAGGAAAGUGACACAGAAGGGAAUGUUUUGUGGUCCUUUAUUACAGAAUGAUCUUAAGUUUUGAUAUUGUGCAUUCAAAAUUUUGCACAAAGAAUUUCAAAAUGUUUAACCUUUACAAUCAGGAAAAUGACUGCAAACUGUUUCUACUUUAAAACAUUUUCCUCAGUGUCCUGAAAAAACAGGUAGGACAGACUCCUUUCCUCAUUUCCUUCUGAGAUUUGCUCACUUAGGUGACAGAAUGCCUACAUUUGUUUGAUACUAAUAUCCAAAAUUAAUAUAUUUAUCUGCAUGUGCCUUGGACACCAUGAGGAGAUACCACUCUACCAUAGUAAAGAAUUUCAGGUAAAAGGACAACCACUGCUGUACAGUGGUGAGGGACUGAGGUUAAAAUACUGCCCAGGGAUACGUUGUGUCUCUGUGUGCAUACAGAGGAGCUCCUGCUGCUGCUGUUGUCAUCUGGUUUUGGUAUCGUAAUCAUGUGCGCAAGAGGAAAGCAGCCUGUUUUAGUGAGUUACUGGAAUCAUUUAUCUGGAUAACACAGGUAACCCUUGCUUUCCUUGCAUUCCUUCCAGUACUUCACUAAAAUCUUCAUAUCUUUUGUCUACAAUUUUAUUGCAAUUCUGCAGUUCUGGAGGGAAGAAUUGGAUUGCCCUUCCUGUACCACCUGUGAAGAGCAAGAGGCACAUCCUACAGUAGAGCUCAUUUCCUAGCUGAUAAGUUAAGACAGGAAUAUAAAACUGCUCUGCACAAUAUUCUGCCCUCUCAUACCUAGUGAAUGCUGUCUUCUUGUAAAAUUUAGUAAUAAGUGUCAGUGCAAGUGUUUUGGUAAUUUAAGCUUAUUCUUUCUGAAGACUCAAUACAUGUAGGUCUGAAGAAGCAGCAAUUUUAUGACUUGAUCUUUCAAUUAUAAAUCAAAGCUAGUAAAUGAGUGAUAUUGUGGAGAGCUAGAAAUAUGAGCUUCCCAGCGGAUCCAUAUGCUUUGCUGGUAAUAUGGCAAGUAACAGGGAAUUAGAUCACACAGUUAGGUUGUUCUGCUAUUUUCAGUUUUAAUUUUUACUUGACUACUGUUGAGGUUUUAACUUGAUGUUCUUUAAGAACAGAACCGUCAUUUUCUAUAGUUCUGGUAAUAUCUUCUGGUCUUUUAAGAAAUAGGGAAAAACAGUUGAGUUCAAAAAGAUAUGCACAUCAAAUUGUGUUUACAGAUCUCAUUUUAUGUUUUGCAGCACUUGAGGAAAAUGUUUUAACUUGUUUCAUAUUCUAUACUCUGAAUUUUCCUUUAUUAAUGUCGUGAUUAAACCCUACAGUAGACAUGCAGUUAAGGAGCUUCCAGAUGUUUCCAGAGCGUCAUAGUUCCACAUUCUGUCCUAUAUGUAUGAGGAAAUAUAGCCACAGUACCAAAGAACCCAACAUGGUCAUUAAAAUUAGAGAAAGGCAUACUUUCCUGUUUUAGAGGUUCCAGAAAUACCUAGCCCUGAUGAUUUAAAAAAAAAAAGAGAUUUAAUUUCAGAGAUCCUGCUAAAAGAAAUGUCUCUGAUUCUCUUUUUCUAUUUGCACUGGACAACAAACUGCCCUUUUAUGCAAUAUUUAAGCAAUUUUAAAGCUUGUAAUGAAAAUCGUGGAAGAAAUUGAGACAUAGCCUGAGCAGAGAAUUUCAGCAUUGAGCUUUUGGUAAAUAGUUUGCAGCCACAAUGCUACAGAUGUUGGCAUUGCAAAGUUGAAUUUUUUCUUAGUGUUCCAUAGAAAGGUGUUGGUGUAGUUAAAGAACAGUGCCAGUAAAACAAAAUACUAGCAAACAUUAGGGGAUAUUUUUCUGCUGUGUUCUGAAUACUUAUUGUAGACUUACUGGAAAACAGUGGAGCGUACUUUGUUCUCAUUUCUAGCGCAUCAGAAUUUGUUCAUCAGUUGUGUUCUUGAGUCAAGAAUUUACAAGUGUUCAACUUGGUAUAUAUAUCUUGAUUUAAGAUUUUGUAGAAUAUACAGUCACACUGACUAUUAAUUCCUUGAAAAUACUUUGCUAUUUGCAUGUGCUAAAUUGUACUAAAUUGUUUACCUGGAAUGAUUAUUUUCAGUGUACACUGUCAGAAAGCAUUUAAAUGCCAGUAAUUUUAAUGAGAAAUAAGCAUUCUGGCAUGUGAAUAAAUGAACCAACAGCUAUGUGCCUGCACUAGCUUACUGAUUUUCAGUGUGACAAUAUAGUUUAAAUCCUUACUAUUUUCAGCAUGGAAAUCAGAAUCUAUUCUGCUAACCUUCUGAGCUUCUAAAUUUGGUGUCAUGCAUAGGCGUGUUUAAAAAUUAGCAUUUAAAAAGAAACCUACUUGCUUUAAGUUUAAGCUGACACUGUUCCUUUCCUCUGUGGAAAUGAAAUUUAUUAAUCAUAAUAAAACCAUCAUAUUCUGAAGGUAGAGGUCACCCUGAGGAGAAAAAAGUCUAUUCAUCACAGAGGAAUUUCAAUGCAUUUUUCCCAGAUAAUAUCUGAGCGUGGAUUCUCUCCCCUUUGGAAAUAUAUUCUUCCAGGGUUGUGCUUACAUGCAUCAAGUGUAUGGAGGAGUUUGCAGGAAUGAGAAUUUUUCAAUUUAGUUUUGUAUACUUCAUUUUCUUUCAGAGACAAUUUGGAAUGGCACUUCUUUACAUUUUGUUUAAUGUUUACAUUGCAAACAUCUAUUCAGGUAGAAUUCCAAUAUACUGUUUGGAAAAAAAAAAAGAAAAAAGAAAAAGAAAAGGAAGCAUUAGAAGUGUUCUUAUUUUAACAAGAUUACAAGCAUUGCUGGUUCUGAAAUACCAUUUUUAUUUUAAUACAACAGCACAAACCUACAGCAUUCUCUUAAUGUAAAUGUAAAACAUUACUUUUAAGGAACACGGUUUAAGAUAGGUUACCAUUUUUACAUUAGGAUUAUUUCACCUCUUUUGUUUAAAGGAAAAAACAUUGUUUACACAAUAGGACAAAAUAUACAGAGUUGAAACUGUUAUCUGUCUUUGGAAAUAGCCUAAAAUAUUUAUUUAUCCAUAUGUUCUUCUUAGUUGUCCACAUUUCUGUAGAAGAUCAUUGUAAUACUGAUAGCAGCAUGUUUCAUUCCACCAUUGUUAAACACUUGUUCAUCAUUUCAGUGAUGAGUUAGGUUAAAAAUACACCUAAUUUAAUAAAACUUCAGCACUCUUUGGACUUGUUCCUUCCUACUUACAAGAGAGCCUUGAGUUUCAGCCACUUAAUUCCUUGCCAUGGGUGACUCAAUGUGCUCUUGGUUUUGUAAGGCACUAUUAUAUAUUCUGCAGCAAGAAUGGGAUGUAGUAUGGAGUCAAAUGCAGCCCUGCAGCACCGCAUGGAUCAGAGCAGUGAAAAAAAGCUCACAGUAAAUCCUAGUGUAGUUAACGGCUUCCACUAUAACGUGCUUCUUACAGAUCUAAAUUUACAGUUCUUGCUCAGUGUUGUGACAAUAGCAGUUAAUAAGAAAAAAAAAAAGUACUUAUGAAAAUAUACCAAUUCCCAUUGUUCUAAAAGUAAUAGCCAUGAUUUUAAAGCAUGUGUAAUAAUAGUACUUGCAAUUCAUCCUCCAUGUUACUAGGGAUAUUAAGGAAAUCUGUAGAUCUGGAAACAAGUCUAGCUUUAAAUUAAUUAUUUUCCCUUUCUAGAUGUUUUCCUAUUGUUCAAAUGAGAUUUGGCUUGAGAAAAUUAAAAAUAUAAUGAUUUUUAAAUGGAUUCUCAGAUUAUAGUGUUUAUGUUCCAAUUUGGAGGGAAACAUUGCAAAGCUGCUAGUUCUUCCAUCUGAGAAGGCUGCAGAGUUUGUGACCAGUCCCAAACCUUCUCUAAGAACUCUUUCCAACUCAAAGGAUUACUAAGUGAUGCUUACCCAGCAGGCUGAUCAGAACUAUUCUUCCUCUCCUUUCUUUCUCUCCCCCUUUCUUUCUUUCAUUAGCAACUGCCUGGUUAUUUUGGUGUUAAUUGCCUCAGGUAAUUUUCAAAUAUAGGUAUUCAUGGAUACCAACUGUUUAAAUGGAAUUGGCAUAUAAAGUUAAUCUUUCACUCAUCAAUAUAUUGGAUGUAAAAGAGGAAAUAGUGUAUUUUAUACAAGUCUUUAACGCGUAUUUCCCUGAGGUUAAGACCCUAAGAUAGAAGAUGACUGCACAACAUUCUGCUUCCCCUGGAUAUUUGUGUAUAUUUACGUACAGAUAAAAUCUAUAGUAAACAUAACGUUGGUGAGAGUUAGAGCCCCCAUUCAUGAACUUUUAGUAAUUUCAAAACUUUGAUAGAUUAAUUCCUUUUUUAUGUAUUACCCCUUAAUAGAAAGUUGAAUUCACUGAGUAAACACAAUAGCACAACUGGAGACAUUCAGCCACUGUGGUUUUCCUUUGCAAUGAAACAUCCAAAUUUUGCCACAGAAUGCCAUAGAACUCUUUAUUGGGAUAAAUAAACUACACUUAGCCUUUGCUCAAAAUUUCCAUUAAAAUUAAUAGGUAAUUUGUCCUAGAAAUUUAACACAGUAUGUGGAUUUAAACUUACAAAGAAACAAAAUACUUUUACAUUUUUUUAUUAAUGUAAAAUGCCACAGAAACAUUUCACUUCACACCUCUAAGUUUGGGAUAAAGGGAAGGAGAGGAACUGCUCAUUUUGUGAUUUGGCAACUAGAGCCUGAUUGCCAAGUAGGUCGAUGCAUACCUGUUUUUCAGUAUGGCCUAGUCUGGAGAACUGGGGCUGCAGGUGUUUGGGAUCUCUAAGAAGUAAGCCCAAACACAUUAACGUGAAAAUGUGACACUCAAAAUUAGUCAGCAUUUUGAAAAAAGGAGUCAAACAUCAAUUUGGAAAAGUGCUGAUCCUUCUUAACGAGCAGUGUAAAAUGCAAGAGUAAUAGAGCUCAACUCCAUACAAUACUCAUAGAUUUUAAAGGACUGCAGUGGCAGCUUUGUGUUGCUGGAAAAAGUGGCCUACUCAGAACUGAUCACCUGCCAACCACUGUACAUAGACUUCGAAGAUUGUAUUUACUGAACUUUAUUCUACUUUUGUUUGUUCUUUCAUCCAGAUGUGUGGUUAUAUAGCCUUGGAAAGGAAAAAGAUAUCACCUGCAAAUCUGUGACUCUGGUGUUGGUCAGGUAGUAAGAGGCAUUUAUGUGAAAUAUCUGCCUUUUCAGAGUUGACCCUCUUUAAUACAGCCUAGUUUUCUCAAUAAGUGGUUUACUUAGGAUUUCCUUACACAAUUAAUCCCUCAUACUCUUGUAAAUGUUGGCUCAGUGAAAGGAGAAUAAAGACAAGUUUGUCUGCAGAAGUUUCUGCUCUUGCACUGAGGAUGUCACCAGGUAGGUAGGAAUGCUUAGUUCUGUUUGUUUGGACUUUAUUCUCUACCUGAUGUCCAAGACUCGCAGAAGUGGGUGGAGUAAGAUUGCAUGCAUUUGCCAUGCAAACAUUCCUUUCUCAGUUUUCCCUCAGCUGAUUAUAUAGGAACUUAGUCAGAUUCCACUUGUGACGUAUCAACUCCAUGAUAUAAAAUAGGGCAACUGUCCUCUUUUCCAAAAAACAAACAAGCAAAAAUAAAUAAAUAAAAAUAAAAACCUAAGUUUGCAUUUGUAUCUGAAAAAUAGGAUGACUAUACAGAAUGAGACAGAAUGGGAUUACUGUUCACAUAAGGUUGAAAGCAACAUCUGUCAGGGAGAGAUCAAUAAUAUUAUUAAAACUUCAUUUGCUUACUAUAUUACGCCUUCUGUAAAAGACACAACUGUAAUUUCAAGUUUGUUUUUGUUUUUUAUGUGAAGCCUGAGAUCAAAUGGAAGUUAUUUGAUAACAGGAAAAUAAUAAGCAUUCAGGGAAACUUGUGUGUAGUUUCUAACGGUAACUAUGUUCAGACUUGGACUGUGAAACGAAGCCGUAUAUCUCAAGGUGAAGAGGAGGGCUGGGCCAGCAAGUCGCUCAGGUGUACAUGUAAAGGAGCUUUGAAGUAGUUCCUGCAGUAUGGAUUUUGUACAAGGAAAAAAUGACAGAAAAUUUAUGUGACAUAAUCUUAGCUUGGUUUUAGAAGAAAUUUGGCUGAAAAUUCAGGCUUCAGUUGUGCAAGUAUCAUGGCUUAGGAUGACACUGUCUCUUCUCUAGAAGGAA
rnacentral:lncRNA from 1 species